CGUAACAGUUGAGAUAAACUGAACUUAAACUGUAAAACUUAUUCAUAAUUACUGAGAUAUUACAUGCAGAAUCUUGGUAUCUAUUAAAAGAUUAAAGUAAAAGAGGUGUUAGAUAUUAUGAGAUGAUGUGAUAGCAGUGAGUUUACAUUCUAUUCCUGUAUGUGGUGAUUUGGAAUUUCAGUGCUGUAGCCCAAUUCAAUCUAAUAUCAAAAUCAAGCUUUAAGUGUUGAUAUUUAUCCAUUAUUUUAAGUUUGAUUGUCAGCAUAAACUGUUUUAGGUAGACUGCCAAAACUAUUCUUGACAGAAGAUUGUUGAUAGGAGACCAGGAGAUGCAAACCUGGAAGAGUGCCAAGAAAGCAAAAAAAUAUAUAUAUCAAGGGUAAAGAGAUUUUUGGUUUUUUUUUUCAGUUACUCAGUGGUCUGGUGUGAAUGCAAGAUGCUGAAGAAAUGAAUUACAUGAUACUCCUCAGGCAAGAAGCAGCUUCUAUCUCAGAACCAACCAACGUGAGGAGUCCAAACUCCUGCAUCUUCAGUUUUCCUCUGGCAUGUGUUUUGUUGAAACAUUGCAUCAAGUUUGUUGGUUUGGAUCAACAUAAAGAACACCUGAAGUUAUAAAAGCAAGAAACCUAGUACCCUUAUGGCAGGUUCCUAGAGGGUAAGGAAUUAAGACCACCAUUAGUGAUAAAGCUUAAAAUUCACUGCAGUAAUACGGUGCACUAUCAUGGUAGGGUGGGGUAUUUUUAAAUGUGGGCUGUUGAACCCAGGAGCUGUUCUUCAUUAUAUUAUCUACACUGCUGAAACACAGCCUAAAGAAGGUCUCUACUGGAACGGAUGCACACAGAGGAAAGUUCUUGGUUGAACAACUGUAAAAUCAGCUCCUUGUCAGGUGGUGUAGCAGGCUACACCCUAGCUGAAGUAGCAGCUGCAGAGACUUGCCCUGUAUCACAGCUGUACCAGUUGACAAGUGGUCCUUCAACACAGAUGAAGGAGUAGGGUAAAGAGAUUUUCUGUCCUAAGUGUAGAGAAGGCAAGUGAUGCAUCCUUCAAUCCCAAAAUUGUGCAGUUUUAUUGAAGCUGCAUCAUUGUUGAUUUCUCCUGAAGGAGUGAGUACCUUGGACAAAGAUAAGACCUUGACAGCAAUCACAGUAAAUACUUGUGGUUUCUGCUGGAGGCUAUAACCAGCUGCAUCUGCUAUUUGAGAAUGGUACUGUAAGAACAAUUAUCCAGUAGCCCUCUGCAUUUUGCUCAGCCUAAUAACCACUCACAUAGGGGAGCAUUACAAGCUUCCCACUAUGCCUCUACACUUCAAAACUGGGCAGGACACAUUCAUUUUAUGUUUGCUGUUAUGUUUAACGACUUGUGAAAUCAGCAGUCACAGAAAUCACCCCAUUUUGCCAGGUAUCAAGUUGAGAUUAUUUCUUUUUAUGUCCAUUGUCUGCUCAUUUAUCUGCUCCGUUUGAGACUUUUCAGAAAUACACUUGGGUAUAAUACCCUAAAACUCUUAAAGAAAAUUGCUUUAUCCAAUGGUUAAGGUGAAGCUGGAGAGCUUUUUUUUUUAAAAAAAAAUACAAAUCCUAUAAAGUGACUAAAUAAAGACUUAGGGAGGAAUGAGAGGAAGCUAUGC
ensembl:lncRNA